CGUGCUGUACCGCCUAAUCCACGGCACGCCACCAGCGCGCCGGGAACCGGGGAACCACCACUUGGGGUGCAUCGGACGGCCCACCGUCCGUAGGAGACCUUCCUGCUCCGAACCCGUCAGCUAACCCGGUCGGCGAAGGAAGGAAAGGAGAA
rnacentral:sRNA from 1 species